rnacentral:lncRNA from 1 species
CAGCAACUAUGAAAGCUGCAAAAAACCCACAUAUUACCUCAGAAGUAAUCUCAGUAUUUUAAUUCCCCUGUGGAUGCAGAUGCCUGAGGCUCAGCCCUGAAGCAGACACGUAAGCUCCUGAGGUUGUUCAAGCAUCUUGCACAGUCUACAAAGAACUAUGCGUAUUUCUUGAGUCCUAUGGGGAAUGUUUUUGGAGAUCCCUGUCUACCCUUGCUGACAUCACAGGAGCUUAAGCAAUAGUUCCAGGAAGCGUUUCAAGGAAUGGAAGCUACCUCACCUCACACUGCAGAUUUAUGGAUCCAACUUCCAGUGGUGUCAGAAAACAUCCGUGUAGCAAUAAAAUGGCUGGUGCUUGCGUAUUCAUAGAUCACUCCAUAAAUAAAGAAAAGAACAGAGCAUGGGAGAGUAAAACACGGGAUAUAGUGGAGUUUGGUAAUUUUUAAGGAGAUAAAUGCCACUGAAGGGGAAAAAAGCCUUUUAAUUGGAGUAUUAAAG